GACGAAGGAUGCAAGCGUUAUCCGGAUUCAUUGGGUUUAAAGGGAGCGUAGGUGGCCUUAUAAGUCAGUGGUGAAAUCUCUGGGCUUAACCCAGAAUGUUGCCAUUGAUACUGUAGGGCUUGAGUAUAGUUCCGUUGGCGGAAUAUGACAUGUAGUGGUGAAAUACAUAGAGAUGUCAUAGAACACCGAUUGCGAAGGCAGCUAACGAAACUAUAACUGACACUGAGGCUCGAAAGUGCGGGGAUCAAACAGG
rnacentral:rRNA from 1 species